rnacentral:rRNA from 1 species
GAUGAACGCUGACAGAAUGCUUAACACAUGCAAGUCAACUUGAACUUCGGUUUGGGUGGCGGACGGGUGAGUAACGCGUAAAGAACUUGCCUCACAGCUAGGGACAACAUUUGGGAACGAAUGCUAAUACCUGAUAUUAUGAUUAUAUGGCAUCGUAUAAUUAUGAAAGCUAUAUGCGCUGUGAGAGAGCUUUGCGUCCCAUUAGCUAGUUGGAGAGGUAACAGCUCACCAAGGCGAUGAUGGGUAGCCGGCCUGAGAGGGUGAUCGGCCACAAGGGGACUGAGACACGGCCCUUACUCCUACGGGAGGCAGCAGUGGGGAAUAUUGGACAAUGGACCGAGAGUCUGAUCCAGCAAUUCUGUGUGCACGAUGAAGUUUUUCGGAAUGUAAAGUGCUUUCAGUUGGGAAGAAAAAAAUGACGGUACCAACAGAAGAAGUGACGGCUAAAUACGUG